GAGGAUGUAGCUCAAAUGGUAGAGCACAUGCUUAGCGUGAACAAGGUCCUGAGUUCAAUCCCCAGUAUGCUCU
rnacentral:tRNA from 1 species